AGUGAACGCUGGCGGUAGGCCUAACACAUGCAAGUCGAACGGCAGCACAGUAAGAGCUUGCUCUUACGGGUGGCGAGUGGCGGACGGGUGAGGAAUACAUCGGAAUCUACUUUUUCGUGGGGGAUAACGUAGGGAAACUUACGCUAAUACCGCAUACGACCUACGGGUGAAAGCAGGGGAUCUUCGGACCUUGCGCGAUUGAAUGAGCUGAUGUCGGAUUAGCUAGUUGGCGGGGUAAAGGCCCACCAAGGCGACGAUCCGUAGCUGGUCUGAGAGGAUGAUCAGCCACACUGGAACUGAGACACGGUCCAGACUCCUACGGGAGGCAGCAGUGGGGAAUAUUGGACAAUGGGCGCAAGCCUGAUCCAGCCAUACCGCGUGGGUGAAGAAGGCCUUCGGGUUGUUAAGCCCUUUUGUUGGGAAAGAAAAGCAGCAGGUUAAUACCCCGCUGUUCUGACGGUACCCAAAGAAUAAGCACCGGCUAACUUCGUG
rnacentral:rRNA from 1 species